rnacentral:tRNA from 1 species
UAUAUAUUAGUGUAUUUGCACAAAAAUUUUUGAUAUUUUUAGAUUUAGUUAAUUCUAAAAUAUAUAA